rnacentral:rRNA from 1 species
GACGUAGGGUGCGAGCGUUGUCCGGAUUUAUUGGGCGUAAAGAGCUCGUAGGCGGCUCGUCGCGUCGACCGUGAAAACCCGCGGCUUAACUGCGGGCUUGCGGUUGAUACGGGCGGGCUAGAGUUCGGUAGGGGAGACUGGAAUUCCUGGUGUAGCGGUGAAAUGCGCAGAUAUCAGGAGGAACACCGGUGGCGAAGGCGGGUCUCUGGGCCGAUACUGACGCCGAGGAGCGAAAGCGUGGGGAGCGAACAGG